AUGCUUAAAUUAGUUCUCCACAGAAAUAAAUAGUUAAGAUUUGAGCUCUCAAAAAGAAAUUAGUGAUAAUAUGGAGUCAAGUAUGAAGUGUGGUGAGGUUUGAGAUGGAGCGUGGGGUUCCGACUGAUGUCAUGUAGGGUUGAAGGAUGUUUUUAUAAAAUGGGAGAUGCUCGAAAUUUUAUAAAAGAGAUGGAUUCAAUUAAUGUAGGAUCAAUUUUCGAAAAAGAGCACGCGGGAGU
rnacentral:lncRNA from 1 species